rnacentral:rRNA from 1 species
UACGAAGGGGGCUAGCGUUGCUCGGAAUCACUGGGCGUAAAGGGUGCGUAGGCGGGUCUUUAAGUCAGGGGGGAAAUCCUGGAGCUCAACUCCAGAACUGCCUUUGAUACUGAGGAGCUCGAGUCCGGAAGAGGUGAGUGGAACUGCGAGUGUAGAGGUGAAAUUCGUAGAUAUUCGCAAGAACACCAGUGGCGAAGGCGGCUCACUGGUCCGGUACUGACGCUGAGGUGCGAAAGCGUGGGGAGCAAACAGG